ACCUGGCUGGCUCAGUUGGUAGAGCAUGUGACCCUUGAUCUCAAGGUUGUGAGUUCAAACCCCAUGUUGGGUG
rfam:Felis catus isolate Cinnamon breed Abyssinian chromosome C1, whole genome shotgun sequence.